CGUGGGCAAUCUGCCUUAAAGUGGGGGAUAGCUCGGCGAAAGCCGAAUUAAUACCGCAUGUGAUCAGGGAAGACAUCUUUCCAAAAUCAAAGCCGGGGCAACCUGGCGCUUUUUGAGGAGCCCGCGGCCUAUCAGCUUGUUGGUGAGGUAAUGGCUCACCAAGGCUUUGACGGGUAGCUGGUCUGAGAGGACGACCAGUCACACUGGAACUGAGACACGGUCCAG
rnacentral:rRNA from 1 species